CGUGCCCAUCACUGCGGAAUAGUCCCUGGAAACGGGGUUUAAUACCGCAUACGCCCUUCGGGGGAAAGAAUUUCGGUGAUGGAUCGGCCCGCGUCUGAUUAGGUAGUUGGUGGGGUAACGGCCUACCAAGCCGACGAUCAGUAGCUGGUUUGAGAGGAUGAUCAGCCACACUGGGACUGAGACACGGCCCAGACUCCUACGGGAGGCAGCAGUGGGGAAUCUUAGACAAUGGGGGAAACCCUGAUCUAGCCAUGCCGCGUGUGUGACGAAGGCCCUAGGGUCGUAAAGCACUUUCACCGGGGAAGAUAAUGACGGUACCCGGAGAAGAAACCCCGGCUAACUCCGUGCCAGCAGCCGCGGUAAUACGGAGGGGGUUAGCGUUGUUCGGAAUUACUGGGCGUAAAGCGCGCGUAGGCGGGCUGUUAAGUCGAGGGUGAAAUCCCGGGGCUCAACCCCGGAACUGCCUUCGAUACUGGCAGCCUAGAGUUCGAGAGAGGUGAGUGGAACUCCGAGUGUAGAGGUGAAAUUCGUAGAUAUUC
rnacentral:rRNA from 1 species